rnacentral:rRNA from 1 species
UACGUAGGGACCAAGCGUUGUUCGGAUUUACUGGGCGUAAAGGGCGCGUAGGCGGCUUGACAAGUCACUUGUGAAAUCUCCGGGCUUAACUCGGAACGGCCAAGUGAAACUGUCAUGCUAGAGUGCAGAAGGGGCAAUCGGAAUUCUUGGUGUAGCGGUGAAAUGCGUAGAUAUCAAGAGGAACACCUGAGGUGAAGACGGGUUGCUGGGCUGACACUGACGCUGAGGCGCGAAAGUCAGGGGAGCAAACGGG